AGACACUGAAAUUUAUCACUCUUAGAUAGGCUCAUAGAAUGAAUAUGGUAGUGGAACAUGGCUGUAAUAAGUGCAGACGGGAGUCCUAGCCAAGACAAUUUCAAGAUAGAGCCCAGCCUUGCUACCUUAACUGACAAGAGAAAAGGGUCAGAGAUGGAGCCCAGUACUGCCAAAAAUAAAGACACGUGGAGAUGUACAAAAUUUAUCAUUUAUUGCUUUGAGUGUUUGAAGACAAAAGUCACAAGACUGUAUGUAUGCAUUUACCCCAUUCUCAUAGACUAGCUUGCAUUGUGUCAACUAUGAAUUGCAUUUUAAAAUCAACUUCUUGAGAAAAAAAAAUAAUUUGGCCUUUCUAGAUGUUUGGGGUUUAUUGACAUACAUUUCUAUUUGUUUGCUUUUCAAGUAACAUUCAAGAUAUAAAUGAUUAUAUCAAAGCAAUUUUGUACUACCUCUUGGAACUAUACAAAAUUUUGUAUGCGUUCCCUUAGUUGCAUGACAACAUUCAAGACAACUUUGUAAAUAGUAAAAUACAAAAGUAAUUCUAACAUCUAGUCUAUCUAGAUGAAUAGAGUCUCACAAAGUAUAAUUUUGUAAAUAAGUCAUGAUAAACUUUUAAAUCAUCACAUUGGUCAAUUUUUUGGAAAUUGUUAGGUAUCUGUUAUUUCAACAAUGUGUCUUUACUUUUUGUCAGGGGAAAGAAAGUUUUAAAACUGUAUUUUCUAUUUUGAAUUGUUGUCUUGGAGGAGUAUUCUAUUUUCAUUGUUAACAUCUUAAAACCCAAAAUCAUCACAUUGUAUGCGUGUCUUUGGUCAGUUACAUAGAUGUUUAUGAUAAAACAGUGUCUCAAACUAUUCGAGAAAAAUUUGUAAAUAACGUACUAUUUUAAAACAUCCAGAUUUUCUAGAUGCAUGUUGUUGUAACAUUGUAAUAUAUGAUAACACUUAUAAAUCCUUUUUAAUUUUUGUAUUUAAUUAUCUCUUAAGUCCUGUAUUUUAGGUUAGAUUAUUGCCAUACAUUUUGACUGAUAGCAUUGAGAAGAAAAACUUUUGAACAGUUGUCUCUUUUUCCAUUAUUCCUUAUCAACUCUGUGAAAGCUGGUUGUCAAACCCAAUUUUGUGUUCAUGGUGGCCUUUGCAAAUUAAUUUUAAAUGGUUUCCUAAAAGAGCAUGCAACUCAGCAAUUGUGCAGCAGUAGAAUCUUAACAGUGCAACAAAACAUGCUGGAUUGCCUAAGGAAAGAAAGAAGAGAUUACAGGUGAUGAAGAUGAGAUAUAUAUCAUCACUAAAAUUGCCUAUUACACCUUAAUUUAUAGGUUUUAAGGACAAACCAGAGAAAUUAUAAAAACAUUGGACAGCCCCUUCUCUACUAGUUUGCCUGUUUCUUCAGAGUGGUGAUUCCUGAGAUGAUCCUUCACCAUUUCUGCUAUCAGUCACCUCAUCAAGAGUCGUCAUCAUUCUCAGAGACUUCCUAAGUUGACAGAUGUUUCCACUGAUGGUCCCUGCUGUACAGAAAAAUUGGCGUCGAGCAUACUUUUUGGAUGGAAGAUCUGAAAGUUUUCCUGCCAGACUAUAUACUGUUCAUGAGCGAUUUUUAUUGUGCAUGGACUAAAUCUUAAGAUCUGGAAUGUUGCCUGCAUUGCUGCCGAAAGAAGUUUGAUAUGAUGGAAUUUAAGGGCUUCGUCUCAGUGCUUCCAUAAGUAUGCAUUGCAAAUGUUUAUUACCACUUUUCACCGAAGAUAUUUGAAACUGAAUUAAACUUUGUAAACAGUUGAAGGACAUGAUACUUUUUUUGUACCAGAAAUUCAGUUUAGGACCUUGCAGUUCUGCUACCACAGUCCAGUACAUGGUAUU